rnacentral:lncRNA from 1 species
GACAAUGGAUUUACUGCUUCUCUGCAUAUUGGUGUUAUUUUGUAUAAACAAGGUUAACACUCCUUUUAAAUUAAAUGCACCACCUGGUGACUGAGUGGGUGACCUUGCCAGCUUUCUUCACCUGGCUCGGGGAAGCCCAGGCUUUCGCUCCGAUUUCAACCUGUGGCUCUCCUUGGAAUCUCUUUUGCUUCUCACUUAAACAGAGCUCCUGGAGGAGGUUGGCCGGUGACUUGCCCUCUGACCCCGCCGUGGGGGACGAGACCCGAUGGAGGUACUAGGGGCCCCUGCGGCUGAGCCCGUGUCCAGGCACCUUCCACGUGGCGCAGGGCGGAUCAAGGCUUGCCCGGGGCCAGCGCGGGGCUGCCGCCAGCACGAGAGCCUCGGGGACCGCCCUCCUCCGGCAGCCGGUGUCAGCGGAGAGUGACAGACGGUCUGGUGGGCCCUGCCAAGGCAGCCCCUAAAUAGAGAUCUCCAGAGGGGGCAACACCAUAAAAAAGGUUCUUUGUGUUUCACUCUAGCGUGGUAUUGCUCUAAUAUAGAGCUCGGCACUUUCCCCAACCUCUAGGAAUUCGAACACCUGGAAAAAUUCUCCUGGCUUUACAUUGGAGGAAAUUUAAUGGUGUAAACCAACUCUGCAGGGGGGCCCCCUUUGAUUUGAGAAAGCAGUGAUCUGCGGUGCAGUGCUGAGCCGAAGGGGCUUGGAAACGACUUUGCCUGAGAAUGUCCAUUCCUCAAACACUUUAAGGAUGGCUUCGAGUUGUUUAGAAAAAUUUAGGCAGACAGCACCGUCUUGGAAGCAUCUAGAAACUUCGAGAGAAAUAAACUUCAGUUACUCGUUUAAUUACAGGCAUCAGCUUGCCAGUUCCCUGCUAACUGUCCAUUUCCGAAUAGGGCAGAAUUUUUCAGGGGUCUUUGCUGUGCUACUACAGCUUUAUGAAUUGUAGACCGGUUUGUCAGCCUUAUUUUAGCUCGGCAAAUAAGGAAAUCAUACCUGGGAAAGUGAAGUGACUUCCCCAAGGUCACCUGACCCAGAAGCCAAGACUCCAGGCUUGUAAGUUCCAUGAUGUUGAUGCCCUUAUUGUUUCCCUGUGGAGUCCUGCUACCCAGAAAGUAAGCUGUGAGCUAAGGAGAGGAAAAGGCCCAACACCUGCCUGUCAGGGCUCCUGGAUCACGCCCUGCUGCCUGCUGACCUAUAUUGGACUCGAGCCCUUCUUCUGGCAUGCUCACCUGUUAACCCACCUAUCAGCCCACACCUCUGACUGCUGGCUGCUCCCCAUUGAGCCUGAAAUACUGUGCUAUCUGCCUGUACCCUUUUGCAUAAGCUGGGGUUGGGUUAUCUCAGAUUUCUAUUUGGGUCAAGAUUGCCACAUACCUCACCUCUUCUGUUCUGGUCCUCAUCCUGUGUUCCUGGACAAAAAUAACAUUUGAGUAGAAAGCUUUUCUACUUGUUGACAUAGUUGAACAGAUUUUGCUUUAUUGAGAUGAAAUGGAGCCUAAAUUUAUCUGGAAAUGUGUGGAAUCAGUAGAGAGAAGUAAACACAACUCGAAGAAAGCGGGAAACCCCUGUGUACAAUUCAGCUUUUUCACUCCCAGGGAGUUGGGCAUGAUUGUAAAGAAUGAUGUUUUCAAGCCUGCCAAUAACAGAACACGUCUGUAUCCAUUGUGGAUGGGCUUCUUUGAGAAAGCUUCCUUUUCGCCCAAGUAGAGGAGCUCUUCACUGCCCUAAGAUUCUGCUUUCCUACUCCCAUGUCAGAGCAGGAAAAGGUGAAUAUUUUUCACACAGAAUAGCCUCAUCCAUUCCCACGGGGAGUGAGAUAGUUCCUGUAGGGUGCUAGUGAUGGCAUAAAAUUACAGCUCACUAGAGAAACAGUUGCGAGUAAAGAAAUAUAUACAUUUCCUCUAUUUGUGUUCCCUGUCUGUGUUGUCUAAGUUGCAAACAACAGACUCCACUUCAGCUAGGUUAAAGGGAAAAGAGGUUUAAUAAAGAAAAUUAAAUAGCUUAUAGCAUCACUGGGGAACUAGAGAAACAGAUUUAAGGCUAAGCUUCCAGAAACAUAUCCCAAAACAUGCCCCCAAACCGUGACACUGACAUGAAGAGACAGUUGUCAUUGCUGCUUUAUUGAACAGAGGACUGAGAAUUUUUCUACAGUCACUGCUGUUCUCUGCACUGAUGGAAGCCAAGCCUGCCUGGAGAACUCAACUUUGCAACCCAAAGCUGGUGGCUAAUGUGGCUACCCCUACCAACAAAAUGGAAACUCCACCAGGUGUCUGAAUCCAGCUCUCACGACCAUUUAGUGGAGCAGGAAGAAACUGCAGGCCUUUUGGAGGUAUUUCCUUGUGAUUCUGGUCCAAUCCACCACCACCGUCUCACGCUUAGAACCCUGCAAUCCUUCUUUCAAAGAUCCCUUUUGUAGAAGCACGGAGAUCAUGUAAUUGGCUGAGAACAACUAUCCAGUCUGAGAGGAUGACCUUUUACCCUCUACCCAAAAAGAGCACUCCAGAGAGAAAGGUGCCGUAAUCUGGGUUUAAGGCUUCUUACCAUCAUGUGGAGAGCCUGUUUCCUGUGCCACACACACAGUGGCAAGAAAGCUCAGCUUCAACAUUAAUGUAGAACUUCCCACGUUGCUCUUGAGAAAAUCCACUCCUUAAAGAGGAAGAAAGGACCUCACCCCAUGCCUCCCUCCCUCGGUGGAGAUGCCCACACAUGGGCACUCGGAACCAGUUGCAGGCAACUGUGAAUUGGGAGGAAGGAAAGAAGAGAUUAGGACUGAAAGAGGUGAGUAUGUUCAAGUCUGUUUCUAGUGUAGAGAUAGCGAGAUGGUCACCCGUUAAUUCAUUUGCAAGGCUGAGAGUAAUGCUGAAUCCUGGCUUAGGACACCAGUAGAUGACUUCCCAACAAAUAAGUGGACAAAAAGAUGACACCACCACCUGAAGGAACUUUUAAAGCAAUGAAUGAAGCACCUUGAAAAGUUAGAUUUUGGUUAAGAGACACAUCCCCAAAGUUAAAUGAAAAGGUAGAACCUGGCUUUGCAAAACUGAUGAAAAAUGGCCAUGUAUGCUACAAAGUAAGACCCUUUUUUUGACAUUUUUUUUUUUCCAUGAGAGUCAACAGGGGAAAGUUUGGCUAAUGUUUUCUAUCACUAAAGACUUAAAAAAUAACUGGAAACAUUCCCAUAGGCUUUGUUUGUUUGUUUUUAAGAGGCUUGUUUCUCGUUUUUCCAUGCAAAUUAAAAUUCCUAGUGUGGCUUCUAUAAAUUUGAACUUUUGAAAACUUUCCCUUAGCAUUUGGCUCAAAGUGUAGCUGGCACUUCCGUGUGACAACAGAGAAAUUUCAGUUCUGCUUUUCUUCAGAGCUGCGUGUUAUGGGUUAGAUAAGUAAACUUGGCUUUCUCUGUUCUAACGACAGUGUGUCCAGGGAAGCUGGAAGAAGAAUGGCUCCAGGGUUCCUGUCGAUGCCAGAUUUCACCAGCGCUACCCUGCUUUUAUCAGUUUUCCAUAUAGAGCUUUCAUAAAGGUUUUCUUUUUCUGUUUUUUAAAUUGUGGUAAAAUACAUAUAACAUAAAAUUUACCAUCCGUGACACUAACUGCAUUUACCAUGUUGUGAUGCAACCAUCACCACGAGAACAUUUUCACCACCCCAAAAGGAAACCCCAAACCCAUUAAGCAGUUACUCUUCAUUUUCCCUCUUCCACCAGCCCGUGGCAACCACUAAUCUGCUUUCUGUCUGUGUGGAUUUGCCAACUCUACUUUUUAUGUUUCAUAUAAAUGGAAUUAUGCCAUAUACAUAACCUUCUAUGUCUCACUGCUUCUACUUACAAUAAAUGUUUUCAAUCGAAGUUCAUUCACCUUGUAGCAUGUAUCAAAAUUUCAUUCCUUUUUAUGGUUGAAUAGUAUUCCAUUCCAUGAAUAUGUCACAUGUUAAAAAAUUCCUUCAUGAGUUGAUGAACAUCUGAGUUGUUUUCAUUAUUUUGCUACUGUGAAUAGUGCUAACAUGAGCAUUUUUGUGAAUGUUUUUAUUUGAACACCAGUUUCCAGUUCCUUGGGGAAUAUACCCAGGAGUGGAGUUCCUAGGUCAUAUGGAAAUUCUCUACUGGGCUCAUUGAGGAGCCAUCAAAUUGCUUUCCAUGGUGGCUGGACCAUUUCACGUUCCUGCUAGCAGUUUCCUAGGGUUCCAAUUUCUCCACAUCCCUUCCAACACUUGCUAUUGUCCAUUAUUUUGGUAGUUAUCUAAGUGUGUGUGAAGUAUCUCACUGUGGUUUUGAUUUGCAUUUCCCUAAUGGUUAAUGGUAUUAAGCAUCUCUUUAUGUGCUCAUUGGUCAUUUGUACGAUCUGUGUUAAAGUUUUCUUUUUGAGAAAGUGUUUUUCAGUUUCAAAAACAUAGAUUGUAAAUUACAUUUAGAAUGUGCCCAUUUUUCUAGCCCAGCUUGGUCCCUUUGAGAAGUUGCCCUUGGUCCUGAAACCAACAGCACAAUCCUGCCAGGUGCCAGUGUCCAUGCAGUGAGCUCCUGAGCUGCCUGGUUCUACCUGCUAGUGCCUGGCUGUCUCUUGACUUAUGUAGCUGAAAUUUCUGCAUUAUCUCUUCUUCCAUCUGCCCAAUCGACAUUAUACCUAUUAUAUCACAGGCUUGAUUUGUAGUUCUGCUCCUUAUAUUUAUCCUGUCACAGGAGCUAGCAGCAUGUGCUCCAGAGUUGGACUGUGAUGAAGACCUUGGAGAACCCAGUAUCUCAGUUUUCUCAGCUCUAAAGUGGCUAUCUCCAUAGUACUUGCCUUGUAGAUGUGUUGUAUUAAAUUAGGUAAUGCAUAUACAUCAUUUGGCCUGGUGUUUUUGAGGUGUACACUCAAUAAGAGGUACUUUAUAAACAUCUUGCCUCUCCCUUUGCAUGCUAGUCUCCUUGUACUGACAACCUGGUGAUCCCAUCUGGGUCCCCUGAUAAGACCUGGAUAAUAUGACUCUCUAGUGUUCUUAAGAUACUGUUACUAAAACCAUCUUUAUUUAUUUAUUUCAACUUUUAUUUUAAGUUCAGGGGCACAUGUGCAGGUUUGUUAUAUAGGUGAAUUUGUGUCAUGGGGGUUUGUCAUACAGGUUAUUUUGUCACCCCGGCAUUAAGUGUAGUACUCAUUAGUUAUUUUUCCUGAUUCUCUUUCUCCUUCCACCCUCCACUCUCUGAGAGGCCCAGUGUCUGUUGUUCCCCUGUUUGUACAGGACCAUCUUUAAAGGCAUUGGGACUCAAUACACAAUUUCUAAAUAUCAUGGGAAUUAGCAAAUUAAUUUAUAAGUUUUUAUACAGCAGUUUAAUUCUGGGAAUGUAAUACCGUUUAUUUCUGAACAGGAAAUUUAAUAUCAUCUACUUUUUAUUGAGUGCCUAACAUGUUCCAGCCACUUACUAUAGGUGCUUAUUAUAUUAUUUCUAAUUCUAGUAAUAACGCUGAAAGUUGAUACUAUUGUCUCUGUUCAAUAGUUGAGGCAUAAUUGAAGUCAAAUGGGAGUAAGUAACAGACCGCAGGUCUUAAGGCAGAUUCACUAAGUAGCAAGGUUAAAAUUUAACACUCGGUCCCCAUGAUCCCCCAGUUUUUUGCUCCUUCUUAAUCACCAUACAACUGAUAUUAGAGUGAGUAGCUUUAGGCAUUUACUAGAAUGUUUGAUAUUCAAUGAAAAAAUUCUGAAGGUGCAUGGACCAAUAAAUAUUGUGAAUAUCCAUGUGAAGUUUGUCACUCCCCCAAAAUUUCAUUCCUCUUCCCAUCCUUUCCAUUCCUCUUCCCUGCUGCUCGUGCUCUCUCUUUUUCUACCAGAUGACAGAUGACUAAACAAAAUAAUAAAAUGUGAAGCAAGUUCUGUUUUGCCCAUGGAGGUGGAAAGUGAGUGUGUAUGAUCCGUUGGAAGAAUUUGGAGAAGAUUCUCUAAGAAUUAGGAAAUCGUUACCUGACUGAAUAAAGCAUGUAGAAUUAUGAUUAUUAUGCAGAUGUGUAUCUUGUUCCUGACAAACUAUAAUAUAAAGCAAGUGUUCUGAAAAUAUGUUAAUGAAAAGAAGAAAGUUACACAGGAUGAGAAAUUCACUUUCGCAAUGCUUAAUGUAAAGCUGAUUAUAAUAUUGAAGUCAAAAUUAAUUCAGUCUUAAGUCAUUCAGAUAAUUGAAUAAAUAAAAUUUAUAUUUAAUCUGAUGUAAUUAGCAUGUUUUUAUAUAUCAAUUUCAACAGAAGAAAGAAAAGUACCGCCCACUUUAUUUUCCUAUGGAUCUGGGGUGGCAAAAUAAAUUUUCAUCUCGUGUGUCUGCUACAGUCUCCCAAAUGAUUAGUUAUUUAUUCCUUGUCUGAAUUUGCUGACAAGGUCACCCUCAGACCUUUGCAGGUGGCAGUUGAGAGAACUUCAUAGUCACCUGACCUACUUCCAAGCUGUACCGUCUACAUGAUGCCCAGACACAUUCGACUUCCCUCUUGACUUUCUCACUUGUUCUCCUUGCCUAUUUAUUCUAAUUUUCAUGUUAUCUUGGUGUAUUAGAGCUAUAACUCAUGUUAACUCUUUUUGAGA